rnacentral:rRNA from 1 species
CGCGUAGGUGGCUAAUUAAGUCAAAUGUGAAAUCCCCGAGCUUAACUUGGGAAUUGCAUUCGAUACUGGUUAGCUAGAGUAUGGGAGAGGAUGGUAGAAUUCCAGGUGUAGCGGUGAAAUGCGUAGAGAUCUGGAGGAAUACCGAUGGCGAAGGCAGCCAUCUGGCCUAAUACUGACACUGAGGUGCGAAAGCAUGGGGAGCAAACAGGAUUAGAUACCCCUGUA